rnacentral:rRNA from 1 species
AGCGAACGCUGGCGGCAUGCCUAACACAUGCAAGUCGAACGAACUCUUCGGAGUUAGUGGCGGACGGGUGAGUAACACGUGGUAACGUACCUUUAGGUUCGGAAUAACUCAGUGUAACUUGUGCUAAUACCGAAUGUGCCCUUCGGGGGAAAGAUUUAUCGCCUUUAGAUCGGCCCGCGUCUGAUUAGCUAGUUGGUGAGGUACAGGCUCACCAAGGAGACGUUCAGUAGCUGGUCUGAGAGGAUGAUCAGCCACAUUGGGAAUGAGACACGGCCCAAAAUCCGACGGGAGGGAGCAGUGGGGAAUCUUGCGCAAUGGGCGAAAGCCUGACGCAGCCAUGCCGCGUGAAUGAUGAAGGUCUUAGGAUUGUAAAAUUCUUUCACCGGGGACGAUAAUGACGGUACCCGGAGAAGAAGCACCGGCUAACUUCGUG